CUCCACUCCUACCUUUUGGUCAUGGUCGACUCUGAUGUGCUGAGGUGUUCAGCAUAAAGCCACACACACACACACAUAGACACACACACGGACAGACAGUGUAGAGAGAGAGGG